rnacentral:rRNA from 1 species
UGGUUCAGAACGAACGCUGGCGGCAAGCUUAACACAUGCAAGUCGAACGGACCAAUCUGUAGCUUGCUACGGGUUUGGUUAGUGGCAGACGGGUGAGUAAUGCAUAGGAAUCUACCUAGUAGUAUGGGAUAGCCACUGGAAAUGGUGGGUAAUACCGUAUAAUCCCUGCGGGGGAAAGAUUUAUCGCUAUUAGAUGAGCCUAUGUCGGAUUAGCUAGUUGGUGGGGUAAUGGCCUACCAAGGCAGUGAUCUGUAGCUGGUCUGAGAGGAUGAUCAGCCACACUGGAACUGAGACACGGUCCAGACUCCUACGGGAGGCAGCAGUGGGGAAUAUUGGACAAUGGGCGCAAGCCUGAUCCAGCUAUGCCGCGUGAGUGAGGAAGGCCUUAGGGUUGUAAAACUCUUUCAGUAGGGAAGAUAAUGACGGUACCUACAGAAGAAGUCCCGGCAAACUC